rnacentral:lncRNA from 1 species
GCCCCAUCUAAACAGAGGCUUCUGCCUGCCCUGAGAGGCUUUUGUGUGAAACAAAGGCAGAAACCCCGAGAAAGAGCUAUUAAAGACAGUCCCUAAUGAAGGAGGGUGUAGAGGGAGGUGUGGCUCUGUAUCCACCUAGGGAGUCUGUAGAGCCAGGCUGCUGCCAGAGCCCGUUUAUAGGCAAAGCCCGAAGGCUAGAGUAAAUGUGGUCUGCACAGGUGUAGGAAAGAGUGUGGGAGAGGAGGAGGGGACAAUCUCAUGCCUUUCUUUAUUAAAAACACAUAAAAUAAACCUUAUAAAAU